UGACAGACUACAGGACACAACUAGGUUCAG
rnacentral:piRNA from 1 species